rnacentral:piRNA from 1 species
UGAAAAGCUGUGAAGAGUGCCGUGAGG